UACAGAGGUCUCAAGCGUUGUUCGGAUUUACUGGGCGUAAAGGGUGCGUAGGCGGUGACGUAAGUCGAGUGUGAAAUCUUCCGGCUCAACCGGAAAAUUGCACUUGAUACUGCGUCACUAGAGGACUGUAGAGGAGACUGGAAUUCACGGUGUAGCAGUGAAAUGCGUAGAUAUCGUGAGGAAGACCGGUGGCGAAAGCGAGUCUCUGGGCAGUUCCUGACGCUGAGGCACGAAGGCUAGGGGAGCAAACGGG
rnacentral:rRNA from 1 species